GACGAACGCUGGCGGCGUGCCUAAUACAUGCAAGUAGAACGCUUAAGCUUGGUGCUUGCACCGAGCGGAUGAGUUGCGAACGGGUGAGUAACGCGUAGGUAACCUGCCUGGUAGCGGGGGAUCACUAUUGGAAACGAUAGCUAAUACCGCAUAAGAGUAGAUGUUGCAUGACAUUUGCUUAAAAGGUGCAAUUGCAUCACUACCAGAUGGACCUGCGGUGUAUUAGCUAUUUGGUGAGGUAACGGCCCACCAAGGCAACGAUACAUAGCCUACCUGAGAGGGUGAUCGGCCAAACUGGGACUGGGACACGGCCCAGACUCCUAAGGGAAGCAGCAGUAGGGAAACUUCGGACAUGGACGGAAGUCUUACCGAGCAACGCCGCGUGAGGGAAGAAGGUUUUCGGAUCGGAAAGCUCUGUUGUAAGAGAAGAACGAGUGUGAGAGUGGAAAGUUCACACUGUGACGGUACCUUACCAGAAAGGGACGGCUAACUACGUG
rnacentral:rRNA from 1 species